GCCGACUUAGCUCAGUUGGUAGAGCGACUGAUUCGUAAUCAGUAGGUCACCAGUUCAACUCUGGUAGUCGGCUCCA
rnacentral:tRNA from 1 species